rnacentral:misc_RNA from 1 species
GGGAAGCCAAAAAGAGAGCAAGGAAAGAUGAGAGGAACCUUUUUAAAAAAGAAAUUAAUCUGUAUUUUACUAAACAAAAGGAUAAAUAUUCAAAAAUAAUUUAUCUCCAACUGAUUUCCCCUUUAUUUCAUUUCCCAACCAAAAAUAAGGAUAUCCAAAAUCUUCUCCCUUUUUCCCUGCAUUCUACUAAUGACUAAAUAGCACAGCAAGCUAGAAGGAAAAGUUGCCAAAUCUACAAACUGAUUGACAACCUCUGACCUUGUGACCAAGCUU